CGGGUGAGCCGCGCCGCAGCUUUAAAUGUGCCGAAAUAGCUGCGAUCCUCUCCCCUGGUGCGCGUGCCCUGACCUUUUGUGCGGGUUUAGCUGCUCCUCGGGGUUGCUUAGCUGGGGACGGAUUGAGACGCGAGGAUUAGGGUUUGGAGUUCGCGGUGGAGGAGGGCGCAGAUGUUGCUACCGUGUGGGCUUGUACUGGAGUUAAAAUGCUUUGGUUGGUUUGUAAGAGAGAUGGUUCCAUUUGUCCGGUUUCAAAAAUCAGAGUUGUCAGAUUUGAUAGUGCAAUGUGAUUGCUGGGUAUUAUUUGAAGUUGAUGCAGCUGCCUGAGUAGUGAACUGUGCAAUGUGAUUGCUUAAUGAUAUAUUCGACUUUGCUAUUCUACUUGUGCGUUGUUGCUCAUUUUAGCGGCAAUUGUAACUAAUGUCAAAAUUCUGUCCAUUCAUUCACGAAAUAAUUUUGUUUACUGUAAAAUAAUUAGUACUGCUACCAGCGUGCAGGCCUUUAGUUACCUGCGAGGCCUUAAUUUUUGAAAAGUUUGGUUUAGCUGAUAGAGCUAUGUGUGCUAUGAUUGCUUCAUGGUACGACAGUUCUUUCUUAGCAAUUGAUUUCCUUACCUCAUGCUUACUAGAUUCAUAUAGUGGAGGGUGCUAAUUAUUAGAACACCGUGCUGAAAGUGCCAAUUUAUCAUCAUCUGAACUAUGAUUUAUCUUCAUUGUCCUGUAAAACCAUGAGCUGCUAUGCGUAAACCACAGCUUAAGUUAUUGCUGUCAAAGUUGAGUGAAUGCAAUUGGUCAUUUGCUGCUGUGCUGCAUUUGGUAACCAAUGUAGUCCGCUAUAUAUACCUGUGAAAUCAGGUCCUUUCUUAAAAGCUAGAUCUUCUGAAGUUGUAGUGCUUUGUUUUCAUAUAAAUAUAAAAUGUGUUAACAUGGUUCAAUAUGUUCACGGGAGAUAUCUUUAAGUUUCCUGUUUGAAACUCGAUUUGAGCAAUCUAAGUACAGGGUAUCAUGGUCUCUAAGCUACUGUAUUGAAAAUUAGAAAAAAAACAUGUUCAAUCUUGGUUAUUUGUCAGGAAAAAUGCAUAAAAUUCCUUGUAAUUCUUGUUGAGAAAAUAUCAUUGAAUGUGGGCUUAGUAAAUGAGCUGGGGAAUCUAGAUUUUGUUCACAUUGAAAGUGAACCUGCAGCCUUUUAUAACUACCAGAGUUAGUAUGGCUGUCUGGUUUGACACCAUUAGCAAGUUGCUGUACUUUGUGAUUAUCCUCCCAGCCUGUUGCAGAUGAAUUUAUUAACUGAUUAAUGCUAGAUUAGGUAAUAACUGCACAAUCUGACUUGGAAUAUAACAGCACACUAGCAUCUUGUUCUUUCGGCGAAUUCCACCUGUAUUAAAACCAAGUUAUGUACAUGUACCACCUGCAUUUCAUUUGAUGUAUAUUUUAAAUUGUAUUAGAACCAAGUUUAAGGCUUAGAUCAAAUAAUUAUUGGAGACCAGUCUAGAUGAACUUUGCUGUACAUGCUGACAAUAUGACUUUGUGGGAAGCUGACAGAACAUGUUUUUGGUCUAUGCAUUAAGGUACACCGAGAUAAAAGUUCUUCUAGCCGAUAACGACACAUUUGCUCUACAUGCUGAUAAUAUGACAAUCAGGAGCAUUCUGGUGGAUGGUGAAACUGUUGAGUUUGACUAUUCCCCUCAUUGGAAAAAUGAAGGUGAUCAACCAAAUUGGUCUUCAAUAUCAUGUUUGAAGACUGCUGCUGAUGCUGCAUGCUCAACAUAUACUUUGGCUCUAAAUCGAGAAUCUGUACCAAAUCUUAUUGUGUCAUAUGAGAGAUCGGUCAAGUCGAUCACUGAGCAGCAGGUAGAAGAAAACAGUGAAAGGCAUGAAGAAAAUAGUAGAAUGCUUGAAGAACAUGGUGGGAAACCUGUUCAAACUUCUGAUGAUCAAACUGUUAAUGGCUGCAAUGGUUCUGCAGUGGAAGAGCAAAAGGAAAGGGAAAAUGGAAAUGGAAAUGGAAGUGAGAAGGUCAAAGAAAAUGGAAUUGAAACUGAAAAUGAAAAGGUAGGAUGAAGUUUUCAUAAUAAACACUAGUUAGCAGCUAUUUACAUAUGGAUUUGUGGAGACAUGAUACCUCAUUGCAAUAAAUUGUAGGUGAAGAACAUAAAACUGGUUCACAUAGAUUAUAUUUUGGAGAAGGCUGAAACUGGCAUUCACUUCGUCGGCAAUGUUCUGCAUAGCAGUAGUCAGAUAAGACGGGCACAUUGUUGGUUUCCUUGCAUUGAUAGCACCACACAACGCUGUCCGUAAGUUAAAUUUAUUUCUUCCCUGCUUGCAAGUCUUGAAAUUAUACUUUCUUUCGCAUGCGAAUAAUUAUUUUUAUAUUAUAAUACCCAGAUUUGACCUAGAGUUUACAGUUAGCACGGAUUUAAUCGCUGUCAGCAACGGUGACUUACUUUACCAGGUAUGCAUUCAAUCUUGAUUGACAAUGGGGGUCUAGAGGCAAAGUACUCAUUAAGUUCCCCAUUUUAUAACAAGAACUAACUUAUGUAAAAUGAAAAGGAAUGUCUUUUAGUUUCUAGUAAACUUGCUAUUACAGUUUGUUAGCAAAUGUUUCUUUGUGACUGUUUCAUGAUGAUCUCUUUUUUGUACUGUUUCAUGAUCUUAGGUCUUUCUUAUUCAUGUUCUGCUUAUGCUACAUCAUGCAGGUCUUAAGCAAGGAAGAUCCUUCAAAAAAAACUUAUGUGUAUAAAUUGAACACUCCUGUUAGUGCACAGUGGAUAUCCUUGGUUGUUGGGCCACUUGAAGUUCUCCCUGACAGGAAUGACAUAAGUGUCUCACACAUCUGUUUAUCCCCUGCUUUGUCAAAGCUUCAGAACACAAUCGCAUUUUUCCACGAUGCAUACAGGUGUUGAUUUUACUAGUAUCUCAACAAACAAAAAUGCUUGGCUCAGUGUUGCUUUUACUAGUAUCUUAAAAAGCUCCUUUUUUUUUUACUGAUUUUGCACUUUGGUGAUAGUAUUUCUGCUGUUAUCAUUUUGGCAGCUGUUAUGAAGACUAUCUUGCUGCAUCAUUCCCCUUGGGUUUGUACAAGCAGAUUUUUCUUCCACCUGAAAUGACAGUAUUACCAACAAGCUUAGGCGCCUCCACAUGCAUAUUCAGUUCAGAUAUCUUGCACGACGAGAAGGUUAUAGAUCAGGUGCGUCUCUCGUUCCAUCUCAGGUUGGCCAACAAUUCGACGCACGAGAUGUGAAUGUGUAUGCGUUCAUUAUUAGAGCAUGCUUAUCAAUUUAGUAAUUCUUGAUUUCGCUAAUUUCCUCGUUAGUUUUUUUCCUUUCCCUCUUGUUAGUAAGAGCACGUAACAUCAGUAAGCAAUGCAAUAAUGCAUAACUUCUGUGAGUAGUGGAAGCUCUUGUUCCAUCAGUAUUUUUUAUUUCAACCGCACGCAUGUUGUGUACUUUCUUGUACAACACUUCAUGCUUGUUAAUUUGAUCAAUUAGCUUGGCACCUCUCCAGCAGCUGGCAGUAAAUAUGUUUAUGAAAAAUUAUGAGUUAUAUUAUUUUUGCUGUAUAGUGCUUUGUGAACCUGUCGUCCUUGGAUAGUAGUGUGGGGAAAUCUGCAAUCCAUGUGCUUGAACUAUAACCCACUGUUACUAUUACUUUUUCUUACUAGGGCUAAUACCUUGUUACUCUUUUAUCCCCUUAAUUGGUGACUCUUGGUAAUGCUUUUAAACCUGCAUUCCAGUGUGGACAUGUCCAUGUUAAGUUUUACUUAUGUUCAGCAUUUUGUGGUAUUCUUUUCGAAUAUUUCAAUUAACAUAUCUUGCUGAGAUAUAAACUUUCACUGUCGUGACUAACUUGGAAAAUAGUUCAGAUAAUUGGCACAAGAAUCAAACUAGCUUAUGCCCUUGCAAGGCAAUGGUUUGGAAUAUACACAAGUGCAGAGGAGCCCAAUGAUGGUAAUUCAUCUCUACCUGUUAAUUUAUGUAGCUAUUACUUGCUACUUCCUCCGUCUCAAAUUACUAUUCGUUUUGACUUUUCUAGAUGCAUCACUUUUGCUAUGUAUCUAGACAUAAGUAUAUAUCUAGGUGCAUAUCAAAAGGUGUAUCUAGAAAAGCUCAAAUGAAUAGUAAUUUGGGACGGAGGGAGUACAUAGGUAAAACAUUGCUGACAAAUAAUUUCCUGCUGGAGCAGAAUGGCUGUUGGAUGGUUUGGCUGGUUUUCUUGCUGAAUUAUUUAUCAAGCGUUUCCUUGGGAGUAAUGAGGCACGGUAUAGGCGUUUCAAGGUUUGUCUUCUUACGAAAAACACAUAUGAUGCAUUUUGUUAUUAUGGAAUGAAAUUCAGAACGUGGUUCAGUGAGAUCGCAUAGAUUUUUAUAUUAUUCGUAAUUGUGUUUCAGACCUAAUUCAAUGGGAACCUUUAAUGUUUAUAAAAAACUCGACCAACUUAGGAGCAGCUAGGUGGCAUUGUAAAUAAGAAAUAGGUACCCAAUUUCGUCUUGUGCAAUAGAUCCUAUAUAUUUAUCAUAUGUAUUAGGAAUGUAUUCAGAAUUGUUUGUACUUUUGUUUAGUCAAAAACCUGAAAAUUAUUAAUAGUUGAAUAGAGAUGUCUCAUUUUCCCUGCAAUUAUUUUCCUACAAAGGAAGACUGGACUUGGAGUAUACUAACACCGUAUAUGUUAAUAACGAAAAAGUUGCUACAAAGCUAUUGGUCUCUGUGAUGUCAUUGUUAUCAGAAUUGUGGUAUGCCGUUCAGCACAUAGUUAAUUUUUUAACCUAUCCUUGUAUGGUAAUUUAUCUUGUUACUAUAAUCUGUGAUAGUUAAAGUAGAAAUUGGACCUUCAGUUCUUGAAGUAGGUUUCCGUGCCUGCUCUCCAAAUGCACAUUGGUUGGAUGGGGAAAAACAUUCAUACAUUUAUUCAGAAUGAAUUAAUGGCUUUGCUGUUGCAAUUGUUCCUUCAGCCAUGCAUGUAUAUCUUCGUUCAACUAACAUGAUUGUUGAAUAUCUUUAUUAACAUCUAGUUUUGGAUUUGUAACAGGCUAACUGCAAUGUAUGUGAGUCUGAUGUUAGUGGUGCAACUGCUUUGAGCUCUCCUGCUGCUUCAAGUGAUCUAUACGGAACUCAAACGAUUGGUUCAUAUGGGAAAGUUCGUUUGUUGAAGGCAGUAAGUUUUGAGCAUUUGAACUCUGGAAUUCGCUUACAUGCAUUGUUCGCUCAAUUCAUUUUAUUUUCUGAAUUUUGAACAGGUAGCUGUACUUCAAAUGUUGGAGAAGCAGAUGGGGCCAGACUCCUUUCGGAAGGUAUUUGCAUCUUUGAUUUACUACUGUUAAUCUUUAUUUACAUAAUUUGAGCACUUUUGACUAAGUAACUGAAUUGAUACUGAGAAGUACAUGACUAUUCAUGAUAGGAAUUACUGAGUUUCUGAUACUAAUCCUUUAUCGUUUCUAGUUAGAAUAUAGAUAGCUUCCUAUAGACUGAUAUCGUUCCCAAUUUCAGAUUUUGCAGGUGAUAGUGGCUCCAAAUCGUGCCUCGAGAACACUUAGUACGAAAGAGGUAUAACAAGUUGGCAGUUGGCUGGCUCUAUAAUGUUAUUUUGGUCAAUUCCAUAGCAUCUAUCUACAUAUCUUUCCAUCCCUUAACCAAGGUAGCCUCACUUGUUGAUGGGAAUAUAUAUAUGGACAUCAAUUUAGCAAGGGUAGAAUAGGAUGAAAUAAAAUGAAUGUGCCCCAGAGUUGUAGGGCCUAUAUUCUCUAAAAGUUUUUAGCGCUAAAAAAGUUCCACUUGCAAUCGAAGCAAGAACUUACAUUUUUGGGCUGGUGCUACGACUGAGGACUAGCACAGUAGCAGCAUAUGGUUUUACUUGUGACAUCAUUUUUGGGCUGGUACUACGACUGAGGACUAGCACAGUAGCAGCAUAUGGUUUUACUCAUGACAUCAUUAAUCUGCUUCCUGGGCCCACAGUGUGUGGUCUUACUUAUGAUGGCAUUACAUUGUAAUGUGGGAUGUUUCUGCACACUGUAUAUUAAUUGAUUCUAUGGAUUUAGCAUGUAAUAUAGAUUUCUGCACUAAUGUUGUUGACAAAUAGACACCUGUAAUAUUUAGCAGCAAAAUUGAACUCCACAGAGACUUGAAUUUAUUGUUUUACUUCCUCUUAAUUCAGUUCAGACACCUUGCAAAUAAGGUUGGCAACCUCGAACGCCCAUUCCUUAAAGAAUUCUUUCCACGAUGGGUUGAAUCUUGUGGAUGUCCAGUUAUGAGGUGAAUGAACUUAUUUGUUGCUUGCAUGUAGCCACUUUCAACAUUCUUUUAUUCAUUAUCUCCUUGUACUUAACUCCGUAUCAUUCUUCUUGGAAGAUUGGGAAUCUCAUAUAGUAAAAAACGGAAUAUGAUUGAAUUAGCCGUUUCAAGGGGUUGCACUGCAAAAGCUACACCUGAUUCUGAUAGUCAUACCAACGGUGACACUCGAGAAGGUGAUGCUGGAUGGCCAGGAAUGAUGAGUGUACGGGUUCAUGAAACUGAUGGGGCUUACGAUCAUCCAGUUCUGCCAAUGGCUGGUGAAGCUUUGCAGGUGGUGGAAAUACAGUGUCAUUCCAAACUAGCAGCGAAGCGCGUUUGGAAAUCGAAAAAAAGCACCAAAUUUGAUGGUUCUGAUGACAACAUAGAUGUCCCUACUCAAGAAAACCGCACAAGGUCUAUUUCCACAAAUCUGCCUUUUCAUCUAUUAUUUACUCAUUUCCCCAUUUUUUUGAUAUCUCACUUGCAUAGCUGACGUAUGCAGCGUGGAUUCACCUUUACUAUGGAUUAGAGUAGACCCAGAGAUGGAAUAUCUCGCUGAGAUCCAUUUUCACCAACCUGUUCAGAUGUGGGUGCGUAUUACCAUAUAAGCUUAUUAUUUAUUGAUAAAAGGGGACUCCUGUAUUUCGUCUAUUUGAAAUUGAUUAUUAUUGAUGAUAUUGGACACAUGGAGUAAGUAGAUGCUGAAAAAUUUCUAUGGUUGGUAAUUUAAGAUGUUUAACAUGAGAGGAGGCCUCCCCUCUCUUCUAAUCUACAUAUUUCCCAAAUUCAUCGUGUCAGCACUUAAUAAUGAAGAUUCAGCUAUGAGAUGUGCUAGUACUGUUGUAGUUUUCUAGGUAUCUAGGAGAUUCACUAAGUCAGGCUGUCAGACUCUUUCCUUUGAGACUCUGAAUCCUUUAUACCUAUUUCCUGAAGGUAGUUAGAUGUUCAAGCUUGUUUCAUGAGUCAUGACUACUUCAAGAUAAGUGUUAGUGCUGUAGUGCAUCACUUGUGCAGCCUCUGGUACAUAUCGCAUCUUCUAAAGUGUUACCAGGACGUGGCUGCCUUUCUAUCUUUCAGAUUUUCAGACAUGUCUACUGUUAUCUUGCUUCCUUGGUGAUUCAGGAACAGAAGUGUUUAUUAUCUGGUGAAGUAGGCGUUAGAUUAGGAUAAGUGUCCAUAAUGGUGAUGGAAGUUUCCAAAAUAAGAUUUUGAUAAGUAAACUAGCUUGUGCAUUUCCUUUGUCCCUCAAUCUUUUCAAUAUGAUACAUUGUAUCAGUAUUCUAGGUUUUGAAUAGAACAUAACAUUAAUGAUCAAUUGAAUAUGAUGUUAGGAUCAAGAAAUGUAUGUUCUUUUCUCUCCUGUUUUAUUUCAAAUUUUGAACCAUCUGGCAGAUCAAUCAAUUGGAGAAAGACAAGGAUGUUAUAUCACAAUCGCAGGCAAUAUCUGUACUGGAGAAAUUACCUCAGCUUUCUUCUGCUGUGAUUAAUGCCCUCAAUAAUUUCCUAAAUGACACAAAGGUAUUUCAAGUUCCCAAAAGUGCUUCUUGAUAUCUUAUACUUUAAUGUUAUGUAACAGAUUAGUUAAAUGCAGGCCUUCUGGAGAGUUAGAAUUGAAGCGGCAUAUGCAUUAGCAGUUACAGCAUCUGAGGUAUGCUUCUGUAAUGUUUGCUACUAUCUCUCAGUUAUAUAUUAUUGCUUUACAGAUUCAGAGAUAAUUCCAUUUUGAGAUAUUUGAAGACCAAAAGUUUACACAUUGUUAGUAGUUGACUAUUUCUUGUAUUGAAUUAUUCUUUUAUGAAUGAAUGGCCUACCCAACUGUUGCUGCUGUUGUAUUUGUGAAUGAAAAGGCUGUUAUUUAGGCUCUUUAUGGGUUUUAUAAGAUUCAUGUCAACAUGUCAUAGUUGUCCAGCAAAGUAGCUUCUGCAUAUGUAGGUUCUUAAUGAUGUAGCUUCUGUGUAGUUCUUCAUUUCAAGAAUUGAUGUAUUUUUGCUAGUAGGUUCUUAAUGAUGUGAUGACAAUCAAAGAAAAGCAGACGAAAGUAUUCAGAUAAAAUUAACGAUGAAAAUGAAACUAGAAUGUUCCAGGAAGUUCUCCUUGCUCUUGCAUUUUGUACCUUCUUUUGCUGCUCCUGCAAGCCAUGUAGAUUGGCAGUAGUGAACAGUUAUGUAAAUGAGCCACUAAUUGACAGUACUGAAGCAUCUUAUCAUAUAUUACUUUAUACAUUUCAUGUUGUGAUAUAUGCAUUUGUUUUACACUGCUCAAUAGCAAAUGGGAUGUUUGGCAGUUCUUUCUGUUUUUUCUGGAAAUCUUGUUUGGAUGCAUCGAUUUUGCACCAGUAUCUUACAUGAAUUUAAUAUUUUGCUUCAUUCAGGCAACUGGUUUAGCUGGGUUGCUUCAUCUGGUUAAGUUCUAUAAAAGCCGCCGUUUUGAUGCAGAUAUUGGAAUGCCCAGGUCCAGAUCUGCACUGUGCAUAACUUUUUUUUUCCUUCUCAAGAGCUAUUAUGUAUCAUUGUUCUUUCUUUGCACUUAAGGUUAAUUAAGUACCAUUCUGUUUUAUUGAUAGGCCGAACGACUUCCAUGAUAUCCCGGAGUACUUUGUUCUUGAGGUAAUGCUUUGAGGUAGGAAUUGUUAUGUGAGUAUCCAUGGCAAAAUAAUGCACUGUAGAGCACUGUUACAACGUUUCAUGUAUCCGAAACUAUUAUAUUAGUUUGUCAGAUGCAUAUUUUGAUAAAAUAAUGUAGAACAUAUUAGAAUUCGUUUCUAUAACCCGUGAUAGAAUGGUGUGUCAUUAGAAAAUAAAAAAUGGUUAUUCUAUUCUUGUCUACUCAGCAAGCAACCACUAAUCCUUUACAUAUCCAGAUUAUUACCUGUAUACACUGUACGUCUUUUGCAUGUAUGUUCCAGAAUCUCACCCAUUUACCUUUUCUGUGCAAUAUCAUUCCAUUCUAAUUAUUCUCAAUAAGAAAUGGAAGAAUUAAGAUAAUAAGCCCAGUAGUUAUUGUUUGUCUUGAAAUGAAAUAAAGAGUGCAUAUCUCACUCAUACAAACUAUAUGGUCAAAUAUACGAUUUAUUUGUCUACCUACCUUGAUUGAUGUAAUGCCUAGUGGCCUUAUAUAAUCUAUUGUAUGAAAGUCCAAUUGAGAUGCAACAUUUGAUCUUUAUUUGCCUUUUGAAGUAAUUCAAAACUGUGCCUUGUGCAUGGGGCUUCACUUUUUUCUUUUAUUUUCUUUUUGCUGCAAAUGGAAAUGUUCGACAAGAGAAUGUCUAAAUCUGAUAGAAACUAUACUUUUUGGGGUUCCCUCAACCUUAUGUUUGAGCAUUUCAUUGUUUGCAAAAGUAUAGCUGAACAAUUUAAAUUUGGUUUCUGCUGAUCGUAUUCAGUUAUUGUGUCUUAGCCAUUGUUGUUUGUAGCAUACAAGCACUAAUGAAAUAUAUGGUUUUUUUUAUGUUCCUUUUAUUAGGCAAUCCCCCAUGCGGUAGCUCUUGUUAGAUCAUCAGACAAGAAUAGCCCAAAGGAAGCCAUUGAGUUCAUUAUUCAGCUCCUGAAGGUUGCUGCAAUUUUCUGGUUUCCAUUUUAUUUAACUUUUAUCUAUGACCCAGUAACCAUAUAACUUUCAUUUUUCGUAAAUCAUUGAGUAGUUCAUCAUUCAUGAUUAUUUAGUACUCCCUCCGUUUCAAAUUGUAGGUUGUUUUGCCUUUUCUAGGUUCAUAGAUGUUUAUAUGCAUCUAGACAUACACUUUAUUUAGAUGCAUACAAACACCUAUGAACCUAGAAAAGCCAAAACGACCUGCAAUUUGGAACGGAGGGAGUAUAUAUUCAUAUUGCUUUCAUAAUUCUCAGAUGUUUGCAAAUUUUUGUGUGCUCCAUUUUCAGUACAAUGAUAACAACGGAAAUAUUUACUCUGAUGUGUACUGGCUGUCUGCAAUGGUCCAGGCAAUAGGCGAACUGGAAUUAGGCCAGCAGGUUUGUACAGAUGCAUAUCAUGUAGUAAAGUAUGGCUUAUAUUUACUUUUAGAUGCAUUCCACAAAUCAGUUCAUGCAAGAUUGAUUGGAUGCAUGGUGAGAACAAAAUAAUUUGAUGACUAAUUAUGAAAAUCUGUUCACUUUCAUGGAAUUAAGGUAAUCUGUUCGAGAUAGAGUUUGGUUAACUAUACUAAAGGACAUACUGAAUUGUUUUGUAUACCUGUGUGCUGGUAUAAAUCUAGUGCUUUAUUUAUUCAAUCUUGUGGAAAUUUACACUGGAGAUUUGUCUGCACAACAUUAGGACAAUCCGAAUUCCGAACAGAUAAAAGUGGAUCCCAUCCUAACCAGCUUCUAAUCAAAGCAGAGACAAUGUUGUUUUACACUUCUGCUUUUUUGCUACAGAAAAUGAAAUAAAACCAGAUAUUGUUGGGGUUUUUACCACCCAUGCCUUUGAAAUGUUGCCUGAUGCUGUUUUAGUGCUGUUGUCAAAUUUCAUUCAAGGUACUGAUGACUGUAUCAAAAUAACCUUGAGCUUUUCCACAGGGCAUGGGGUUCCUAUCCUCUCUACUCAAGCGAAUUGAUCGACUCUUGCAAUUUGACAAGUUUGUGGAACUUCACCCCACCAGCGUUAUUAUUUACAUCUUGUCCUGUUCUGAAAGUUUGUAAUAAUUUGCCUGAAAACCUUUGUGCAGCUUUAUGCCUGGUUACAAUGGGGUCUUGACUGUCAGCUGCAUUCGUACCCUUGCACGCAUAGCAAGGAGGGUGUCACCUUCCAUAUGCCUUGUAAGAAAGUUUCCAUCUAUGUUUCCCACAUUUUCUCCAGUAGUAACUAUGCUUUUCAUAGCGCAUAACUGCAUGCCACAUUCACUUAUCAUUGCAGGAUCGCAUUUGUGAACUAAUUGCCCCCUUUCGCAACAUGGACAAACCAUGGAAAGUUCGAAUUGAAGCUAGCAGGGUUCUUAUUGAUCUUGAGUUACACCAUAAAGGCCUUGAUGCAGCUCUUUUAUUGUUCUUGAAAUAUGUGGAUGAAGAAAAGUCUUUGCGAGGUUGGCUUGCUGGAGUACUUUGAAGCUUAUUUUGUAUGCUUUGAUUUCUUUUGACACCGAAUUCUUGCAGGGGCGACAAAGUUGGCUGUUCACGUCUUGCGUUUAUGUCAAGCAAGUAUUGUUCCUCACGUUAAUGAUCAAAUAAGUUUGACAACUCUAAUUGGUCUUCUUCACCUGCUUGCUGGCGCAAAGGCAUACAACAACAUAUUUCUUCGUCAUCAUGUGUUCUGCAUAUUGCAAGUUGCCGCUGGAAGGUUAGAAAAUUUGUUAUUGCACAUGUUUUCAUUAUUUUGUUCUGUUGAUUAACCUUUGCGUAUAAUUUGGUAUUCUGCGAUCCAGAAAAGUGUUUGCAUUUUUUUUUCCCAUCAAUACGACAACAAUACCUUCAUGCUGCUGGUGUAUCCAUGUACCAGAAGCUGAGAUCUGGUCAAAACAACUGGAUCAAUGUUUCGGCGGGUUUACAACAAAAUGAUUCGAUACUUCCUUACUGGUUUACAAAGUCAAACAUUUGAACUUUGGCCAUCAAUAUCUAAAAUUGUUUAUAAGUUGACGUGACUAUAUUCAACAUGAAAAAUACUCUGAUACUCCCUCUGUCCCAAAUUGUUGGUCGUUUUGGCAUUUCUAUGUUCAUAGCUUUUGCUAUGAACCUAAAUAUACACUAUGUCUAGAUAUAUAGUAAAAUCUAUGAAUCUAGAAAUGCCAAAAUGGCCUACAAUUUGGAACGAGGAAGUAGUAUAUACCUUCUGAUCACAAGGGACAUUUUGGACAUCAACAUGGUCCCCUAAACACAACUUUUACUAGUACUUAUUACAAAAUUGUUGUAGAAGCAUUUUAUUAUGGAACUACUACCUCCGUUCUCGAAUAUAUGAUGUUUAGGACAAGCUGGCUAGUUCAUUUUGAAAUAAGUAGCUUGUCCUAAAUGUUAUAUAUUUAAGAACGGAGGAAGUACAUUUCAAGAGAAAUCUACCUGUACCAUGUUCAAAUAUGAUGAAUUGGUCUCACUAGGUUGCAACACACAUUUAGAGGAAACUCUAGUUUUGCAAAUACAUUCCAAAAGCUGAAAUCCUCUUGUGGCCAUCCUUUGAUGCUGCAAUAACUAGAGCAGGAGUGAGAAAAUACAUUUCUCGGCUGGGCUCUGGUUGAGCUCUUCUUAGUGUAAUACUGUGGGGGCAGUCUUUCCCCCACUGGCCGAGUUUUUUUUUAUCAAGAAUUCCGUGCAAGGUCCUAGCAACACGGUACCGUAACUUCAUUGGCUGGGCCUGUACUGCAGCACCAUCCAUGUCUCCACCCUGCCUUGAAGGAUAGUGACAGCCACUUCAAUAGACAUGCAUUACUUGGGAGAUAGCGAAUGACCCAAAAAAAAA
rnacentral:lncRNA from 1 species